CACGUAGGGCGCAAGCGUUGUCCGAUUAUUGGGCGUAAAGAGCUCGUAGGCGGUCUGUUGCGUCCGCUGUGAAAACUCGGGGCUUAACCCCGAGCCUGCAGUGGAUACGGGCAGACUAGAGGUAGGUAGGGGAGAAUGGAAUUCCCGGUGUAGCGGUGAAAUGCGCAGAUAUCGGGAGGAACACCGGUGGCGAAGGCGGUUCUCUGGGCCUUACCUGACGCUGAGGAGCGAAAGCGUGGGGAGCGAACAGG
rnacentral:rRNA from 1 species